AACGCAUCUUGCACCCCUUGGUAUUCCUGGGGGUAUGCCUGUUUGAGUGUCAUUAAUCUUAUUCUCAAUCCGAAGUGGCAGAGAAGGAUAAUUUAUUCUUUUCUUCACUUUUGGCUUGGACGAUGAAGGUUGCUGGCUGUUUGUGCAGCUCCUUUGAAAUGAAUUAGCAGAAAGUUGACAGGGUUCAGCUUACAGUUUGAUAUGCAUCUAGCUGUUUGCUGUGGAGUCAUUGUGUUCUGCUUCCUUGUCCUUGUAAGGACUGCUCAGCUUUUUGAGCAAAACAUUCAUAACUUGACCUCAAAUCAGGUAGGAUUACCCGCUGAACUUAA
rnacentral:misc_RNA from 1 species